rnacentral:rRNA from 1 species
UACGGAGGGUGCAAGCGUUGUCCGGAUUUAUUGGGUUUAAAGGGUGCGUAGGCGGCUUUUUAAGUCAGCGGUGAAAGACUGUCGCUUAACGACGGAACUGCCGUUGAUACUGAAUGGCUUGAGUAUGAUUGAGGUAGCUGGAAUGGAUAGUGUAGCGGUGAAAUGCAUAGAUAUUAUCCAGAACUCCAAUAGCGUAGGCAGGUUACUAAGUCAUUACUGACGCUGAGGCACGAGAGUGCGGGUAUCAAACAGG